AUUUGGUCUGACAGCCAUCACAUGAAUCACACACACAGAUCUGGAGAAGAAAGCGGCCAGAAAUGGGGCUUCUGAUGUUGGUGCUGCUGCCCAGCCCUAACCUGUGCUCGUCGUGUCUCAGUUACAGAUGGGGUGGAAAAUCUGAGCUGGUCUGGCCCGAAGCCUAUCCCGGAUCUGGAUUCUCCUUCUCUCUCAGACAGCACGUGAAGUUCUGCUCUGCUUUGCGGUACAGAAAAAUGAGAUACCCCACUUCUGAUUGCUGGAGCUGGGGUGGAGCUGAUGCAUAAAGCAAAGCAGCAUGCAUAGAAGCAGGCCAGAAAGGGAAAGAGAUCAGUGAGAAACUCCUUCUAGGGAAUCAGGAAAAGACAACAGCAGAGGGUAGCGAAUUGGUUUUGCCCAGAAGCAUUUCAGUCCUAAAGCAAAUCCAGAAACCGCUAAAACAAGGUCUGUAUCUGUCUCUCCCUAAAAGGGCUGAAAGAGAAACUCUUACUACAUACAGCUGAGGCUCAGCAACUUGGCUUAGGCAGUAGCUUCUGACCUGAGCAGCACGAAGAGAAUAAACAACACUCAAAAACUGGAAGGAUCAACCUGUCAGUGUGCUAUGGCUGGGUGCACCAGCAAAUCACGACGUGCUCUUCAGUUGCUGCGACAAGAUCUCUUCUGCUGACUGACACCUAGAUCCUUGGAGAAAGAGAAAUGAUCCAGUGAGAGCAGUGCUUCGUGAAGUGCACGGUGACUUAAGACCCACUCCUGCCAGAGGAGCUUGAGGCAGAAAGACAAGAAAGAGGAGAGAUGAAAGAGGCAGAGAUGCUCUUUUUAUUCUCCCCCCUCUCUGUCACUGCAAGAUGGAAGCUGCUGCCCAACAGGAAGAUACAGAAACAUCAGAACAACGAGCCCCUGCAGCCUGAUAGCUUGGAGCUCUGGUGUAAAGGAGGUUCUGCUUUACACCUCUUCAGACCGAGAGAAGCAGAGCUGCACUCAGUAUCAGCGGGUUUUUCCACUACCGCUCUAAAAUCUUCUGGAGUGCUAAAAGCAUUCUUCAUUGCUAUUGCACUGAGAUCUCUGAAUGCCUCUAGGCAGAGAAGAAUCUACGUCUGAUGAUUUGGAGCUCAGAAAGGAGGUGCUCCAGCCUUCAUAAGGUCUUCAGCCUCACCCCGUGGACAUCCAGG
ensembl:lncRNA